rnacentral:tRNA from 2 species
AACUGGAAUAAUUGAGGGCAAAAUUAAGGCCCCUUGAAGGGGCCUUUCGUUACUCAGGUUCUGAGACCUUAGCCGCUUU